rnacentral:rRNA from 1 species
GUGGGGGAUAGCUCGCCGAAAGGCGAAUUAAUACCGCAUGUGGCCAAGGAAGUCAUCUUCCUGACGCCAAAGCCGGGGUAACCUGGCGCUUCUCGAGGGGCUCGCGGCCUAUCAGCUUGUUGGUGAGGUAACGGCUCACCAAGGCUAUGACGGGUAGCUGGUCUGAGAGGACGACCAGCCACACUGGAACUGAGACACGGUCCAGACACCUACGGGUGGCAGCAGUCGAGAAUUUUUCACAAUGGGGGAAACCCUGAUGGAGCGACGCCGCGUGGAGGAUGAAGGUUUUCGGAUCGUAAACUCCUGUCAUUAGAGAACAAGGCACAUGGUUUAACUGACUGUGUGUUGAUAGUAUCUGAAGAGGAAGGGACGGCUAACUCUGUGCCAGCAGCCGCGGUAAUACAGAGGUCCCAAGCGUUGUUYGGAUUCAUUGGGCGUAAAGGGUGCGUAGGUGGCGAGGUAAGUCGGAUGUGAAAUCUCCAAGCUCAACUUGGAAACUGCAUUCGAUACUGCUUUGCUAGAGGAUUGUAGAGGGCAUUGGAAUUCACGGUGUAGCAGUGAAAUGCGUAGAUAUCGUGAGGAAGACCAGUGGCGAAGGCGAAUGCCUGGGCAAUUCCUGACACUGAGGCACGAAGGCCAGGGGAGCAAACGGGAUUAGAUACCCCGGUAGUCCUGGCAGU